rnacentral:piRNA from 1 species
GUGACAGAAUGCUUGGGACACACAGC